UUUUGAGUCCGUCCUCUAUGAUUAGGGUACAUAUUGGAUGGGCCCCAGAUAUGUUGGGCCCAUAAAGUAUUGGAGCGACGAGAAAUUGGGCCACAGAGUAUUGGAACGACAACAAAAAUUCAUGAAAUAGUUUAUCGGCGGUGACCGUCCUCUGCAACCAGAGCACGGCUAUGCUCUCUUCUCUGGUGGAAUUUUAGUUGAAUUUGACAAUUAAAAUUAGAAUAUAAGAUCUGAAACUCAUCGUAGAAGAAGAUGAGGAAAUACCAAUCUGCAGAAUGAAUCGCUUUGGCAUACGAAAUUCAGAAUCUCCAAAUAGCCAAUUGCUUAAAAGUCACCAAAAGCAGAUUAAGACCAGUGUCCAUUGAAGAUGAAGAAGCUAUCAGCAUAAUUUCUGAGCAGUGUCUCAAUGUACAUGGAACUUCCUUAAUGGACUUAUAAGCAUUUUUGUAGGAUCAAUUUGUAGGGAAAUGGAAGAAUUACAAAUUCCUGCUAAAUGCCAAACAGACAAGCAUUGUUACUUGUUUUGUAGGGAUUAAGCUUGAAAGUUUAUAGCUUUCAACAACAAUGGCAGUUUUCUCAGGCUGAUCAUUUGGUUUGGUCAGUUAUGAAAAUGGUCCCACUGAAAGCAUGACAUAUCCCCAUCCAGUGAACAGUUUAGUUUAAUCUCUUUUCCUUUUCGUGCACUAUUUUUUUCUUUGCAGAACGAAUAAUAGAUUGGUAUUCAUCUUUUGCGUAUAUAUGCAUAGCCAUUUUGAUA